UUGCAUUUGAAGCCCAUGAGGAUGAGAACCUCCGGGGGCGGGGAGGUUCGACUCGAGCGAAGCGAGAGAACGUUGCGCCAGCAACGGCCCGCAGGGCGAGCCACGAAG
rnacentral:sRNA from 2 species